rnacentral:lncRNA from 1 species
UCAGAAAUGCGUGAAAAGUAAGCUAUCAAAGUUAAACAAUUUUCACUUUUGGAUUAAAAAAUUCGGAAAGAAAUCCACUCAGCUGAUGAGAUUAGUCCUCGAUUAUUAAACUUGGACGGGAAACCAAUACAACGGUGAAAGAACAAGAAAGAGAACAUGACAAGUAACUCAAUACCAAACCUACCGUGAGAGUCUCGUUGUCCGUCAC